rnacentral:rRNA from 1 species
GAUGAACGCUGGCGGCGUGCCUAAUACAUGCAAGUUGAGCGAAGCGUGGACGGGUGAGUAACACGUGGACAACCUCCUAUAAGACUGGGAUAACUUCGGGAAACCGGAGCUAAACCGGAUACUUAUAGUUGUAUCCUCGCUGCAGUAGCUAGUUGGUAAGGUAACGGCUUACCACGGCAACGAUGAAUUGCCGACCUGAUAGGUGGUUCGGCCAGACUGGAACUGAGACACGGUCCAGACUCCAACGGGAGGCAGCAGUAGGGAAUAUUCCGCAAUAGGCGAAAGCCUGACGGAGCAACACCGCGUGAGUGAUGAAGGUCUUCGGAUCGUAAAACUCUGUUAUUAGGGAAGCGGUACCUAAUCAGAAAGCCACGGCUAACUACGUGCCAGCAGCCGCGGUAAUUC